rnacentral:rRNA from 1 species
CGGGUGAGUAACACGUGGGCAACCUGCCCAAAAGAGGGGGAUAACACUUGGAAACAGGUGCUAAUACCGCAUAGCCAUAGUUACCGCAUGGUAACUAUGUAAAAGGUGGCUAUGCUACCGCUUUUGGAUGAGCCCGCGGCGCAUUAGCUAGUUGGUGGGGUAAAGGCUUACCAAGGCAAUGAUGCGUAGCCGAACUGAGAGGUUGAUCGGCCACAUUGGGACUGAGACACGGCCCAAACUCCUACGGAAGGCAGCAG